GACAAUCCUCUUUCUUACUUGAAAUAUUUAAAUUUGUUUAUAUUUAUUAACAGUUAAGGGAUUUUUUAAAGAAGAAAUUAACAAUAGGUGAAUAAGCUAGUUAACAAUGUGAAAUUAUCAACAUAUGUUUUCUUUUCUUUUAGGUAAUGUUGAGCAAACUUGACUUUAAAAGCUGCAGGGAUGGAUGGAGCCUACAUCUGCUGCUGAUGAAAGGACCCCAAGGAAAGACUCUUCCUGAGGAAGAGGAUGUGUUCCAAGUGAUGUACUAAGAAUGCAAGCCAACUGCUGAGUGGGACCAAGCCAGAGUGCACAGGGUCACCAAGUCCAAGGAGGGGCUAGGCAGAGUUGGGAAAAGCACCCAUAGGAACAAUCCAAACCAAGGAAUCAGGGAGAAAAUUCAUUCUGAUAGGGAAACAGUAGGCCUCCAUGAGAUGACAGUUUUGUCUUGGGCAGUUUUCCCACUGGAGAUAGCAUCAUUUUAUACUACUGGCCUGCUAACUCCUUAAAAUCCCCCUCUCAUGGAAUAAUGGGACCAGGGCACAUCUGUCACUAGAAAUACUUUCUCUUCAUAUAUAGGAUAACAAGAAUAACAAUAGUUAGUGUUUAUACAGCUCUUUAAGGUUUACAGCAGACUUUGCAUAUGUCAUCUCCUUUGAUCUACCUAGGGAGGUGCUAUUUUGUCCCCACUUUGCAAAUGAAGAAACUGAGGCAGACCAAUGUUAGGGGUCAGCUGGGAAAUAUCUGAGAUUAGAAUUGAACUCAGAUCUCUAGUCUUGGUUCUCUGUCCACUCUACUGCCUAGAGUUAGAUGAACCAUCAGAAGCCAUCUAA
rnacentral:lncRNA from 1 species